CCUACGGGUGGCAGCAGUGAGGAAUAUUGGGCAAUGGGCGGGAGCCUGAACCAGCCAAGCCGCGUGAGGGAAGAAGGUACAGCGUAUCGUAAACCUCUUUUGUCAGGGAACAAAGGCGGGGACUAGUCCCCGUAUGACUGUACCUGAAGCAAAAGCAUCGGCUAACUCCGUGCCAGCAGCCGCGGUAAUACGGAGGAUGCGAGCGUUAUCCGGAUUUAUUGGGUUUAAAGGGUGCGCAGGCGGCCUGUUAAGUCAGCGGGAAAAGGCCGGGGCUCAACCCCGGCCAGCCGUGGAAACUGGCGGGCUUGAGUGGGAGAGAAGUACGCGGAAUGCGCGGUGUAGCGGUGAAAUGCUUAGAUAUCGCGCAGAACCCCGAUGGCGAAGGCAGCGUACCGGCUCCACACUGACGCCGAGGCACGAAAGCGUGGGUAUCGAACAGGAUUAGAUACCCGUGUAGUC
rnacentral:rRNA from 1 species